UGAAAUUUCAUGCGGAAAACUUGACUGCUCCGUCACCUGCCCGUUCCUGCCUGUGAAGUUAGUAGAUGGUGUUGAUUCUCGGAGGCCGUGUGCUAAAGAGUGUCUAAAGGGAGAGGCUUCUUCAAGGUUUCCAAGCAUAAUUAUUUCACGUACCACACAGAAUUAAGGAGACACUUUUGAUGCUACCAGAGUGAUGUAGAGGAAAUACGUCGUCCUUUAGACGGCAUUGCUGACAGGCGCACGCAGUGAAGACCUCAAGCUAGUGGGUCUCCAUGAAGAUGGAUGAUAUCGUUGGACAGCAGGAUGCAAAAACCCUAUACAUCUAAGACCAACUCAAAUUUAUGGUUGAAUUUAAUAUUUGGAAGGGCAAAAGGUUAGAGAGCAUACAGGAGCUGCGGAGGAUUGCAGAUGUGCUGGCCAAGCUGGAGAAAAAUGUCACCAUCACUCAGACAGUGGGCACAGCCACCAGCCUUUUUGGUGCAAUCGUGGCUUUCGUUGGGAUCAUGACUGCCACAUUCACGUUUGGUGCCUCUGGUGUUAUAGGCAGUGUAAUGGGAACUGGGAUUGGUGUAGUCGGUGGUGUGGUGGCGACCGGGAGUGCCAUUUAUAAGAUGUUGGCUAAAAAUAACAAUCUUAAAAAGACUGAUGCAGCUUUGUGUUCACGCUUGGUAUUGCAGCCUUAUUUUUUCUUUCCUAACAGUGACAUCAGAUGCGGUAAACAUACUGUUGGGUGCAGGAUCCUGUGUGCACUGUAAAAUUGUAGGCUGAGAUAGAUGGGUUCAGAAAGUGUCAUUCUGCAGUUUGCCAUUCCACAAGGCUCUCUGCCGUCUCUGACAGCCUUUCUUUUCUUCAUAAGUGAGUUCCUAUAUCCUACUCGCUAUAUGAUUCACUCUUGAUAAAAGCACUUUUUAUAACAAACAUCAUACUCAUCGGAAGUAUAUAAUCCACUCUCAGCUGCCCAAUGUGUCGAAUCAUCACCAUUGCUAUCAACUUGAACACAGUCCUUCAGCGAGGAGAGAAGAAUCUGGUGACUUUUCUCUUGAAAAAAAAACCCAAUCAAUGUUUUUUUGUGUGUAAGGUUGUCGAUACAAAGUACACCCAAAACCUUGCCCAUCGCGGGUUUUCCCAUCGCGCAUUUGACCAUUCACGCCAAAUCCAUUGAGGUAUAGUUCUCCGAUUGCACCCCUGUGGAUCGACAAUUCGCAGUUGACCGCGAGAUUCCUGAACGGUAGACAUCAGAAAGAACAAGUAAACCCGUAAAAACAAAGUUUUUCACUCUAAAUCCUUUAUAUGCGUGGCGGCUAGAGUCAUCUCGUCCUCUGGCU